CUUUAACGAGGAUCUAUUGGAGGGCAAGUCUGGUGCCAGCAGCCGCGGUAAUUCCAGCUCCAAUAGCGUAUAUUAAAGUUGUUGCGGUUAAAAAGCUCGUAGUUGGUUCUGCGUGCCACGCUGUCGGUUCACCGCCUGCCGGUGCAACUGGCAUGCCGUGGCAUGUCCUGUCGGUGGCGGAUAGGCUUCGUGUGCGUGCCCUAUGCGCUUUUACGGCGUGUAGGCUGCUGCGCCGCGAUGUCCUUGUACGCCGGCUCAAUCCUACCGCGGUGCUCUUCACCGAGUGUCGA
rnacentral:rRNA from 1 species